rnacentral:rRNA from 1 species
CCUACGGGAGGCAGCAGUCGAGGAUCUUCCCCAAUGGGCGAAAGCCUGAGGGAGCGACGCCGCGUGAGGGAUGAAGGCCCUUUGGGUUGUAAACCUCUGUUAGGGGGAAAGAACAGCAGGGGAAGCAACAUGUCCUCUGCCUGACGUUACCCCCAGAGAAAGCUCCGGCCAACUCCGUGCCAGCAGCCGCGGUAAUACGGGGGGAGCAAGCGUUGUCCGGAAUCAUUGGGCGUAAAGGGCGUGUAGGCGGUUUGGCAAGUCGAAUGUGAAAUCCCACGGCUCAACCGUGGAACUGCGUUCGAAACUGCCUUGCUUGAGUGCGGGAGAGGUGUGCGGAAUUCCUGGUGUAGCGGUGGAAUGCGUAGAUAUCAGGAAGAACACCGGUGGCGAAGGCGGCACACUGGCCUAGCACUGACGCUGAGGCGCGAAAGCGUGGGGAGCGAACGGGAUUAGAUACCCCAGUAGUCC